rnacentral:rRNA from 1 species
UACGUAGGGUCCGAGCGUUGUCCGGAAUUACUGGGCGUAAAGAGCUCGUAGGUGGUUUGUCGCGUUGUUCGUGAAAACUCACAGCUCAACUGUGGGCGUGCGGGCGAUACGGGCAGACUGGAGUACUGCAGGGGAGACUGGAAUUCCUGGUGUAGCGGUGGAAUGCGCAGAUAUCAGGAGGAACACCGGUGGCGAAGGCGGGGUCUCUGGGCAGUAACUGACGCUGAGGAGCGAAAGCGUGGGGAGCGAACAGG